rnacentral:rRNA from 1 species
UGGGCAACCUGCCCCAGACUCUGGGAUAACCUCGGGAAACCGGGGCUAAUACCGGAUACUCUCAUCGAACCACAUGGCUCGAUGAGGAAAGCUCCGGCGGUCUGGGAUGGGCCCGCGGCCUAUCAGCUUGUUGGUGGGGUAACGGCCCACCAAGGCGACGACGGGUAGUUGGCGUGAGAGCGUGGCCAACCACACUGGGACUGAGACACGGCCCAGACUCCUACGGGAG